UUGAAAGGGAAACGAUUGAAGUCAGUCGUACUGACGGGUAAUCAACCUUUAGGGUGCGAUUCUGUGGGUUUUGAGGAGCUUCACGGCCCUCAUGGUCUGCAUAUUUGUGCCAUUUGGGUGUACUUACCUGGUAGUAGGUUAACAUCAAUUUUGAUCGUCAUAAAAUGAUGGGAGGAAUGUAGCUUCGACCUUCGGUUGAAGUGUUAUAGCCUCUGGUAGAUGUGAUGAUCGGGAUUGAGGAUUGCAACGAAUACCUUCUAGGCUACCCGCCUGAUCUCUGAUGGUUGCUAUGGUGCCGAAAGCUUGCUUACGGUUAUCAGAGUUGAUUGUCAAAAGGUUAGAACGCGAUUACAUUCGUUAAGGAUGUUGACGUA
rnacentral:rRNA from 1 species